rnacentral:rRNA from 1 species
UACGGAGGAUGCAAGCGUUAUCCGGAAUGAUUGGGCGUAAAGCGUCCGCAGGUGGCUGUGUAAGUCUGCUGUUAAAGAGCAAAGCUUAACUUUGUAAAAGCAGUGGAAACUACACAGCUAGAGUGCGUUCGGGGCAGAGGGAAUUCCUGGUGUAGCGGUGAAAUGCGUAGAGAUCAGGAAGAACACCGGUGGCGAAGGCGUUCUGCUAGGCCGCAACUGACACUGAGGGACGAAAGCUAGGGGAGCGAAUGGG